GUCGAGAGGGCGGAGAAUGCAAUACCCUUCGGGGGAAUAAUCCCGACCGACUUUUGGCGGUUUUCGAACCUCUCGGCACCCUAUG
rnacentral:ncRNA from 22 species